rnacentral:rRNA from 1 species
AUUGAACGCUGGCGGAAUGCUUUACACAUGCAAGUCGAACGGCAGCACGGACUUCGGUCUGGUGGCGAGUGGCGAACGGGUGAGUAAUGUAUCGGAACGUGCCCAGUCGUGGGGGAUAACGUAGUGAAAAUUACGCUAAUACCGCAUACGAUCUAUGGAUGAAAGCGGGGGAUCGCAAGACCUCGCGCGAUUGGAGCGGCCGAUAUCAGAUUAGGUAGUUGGUGGGGUAAAGGCCCACCAAGCCAACGAUCUGUAGCUGGUCUGAGAGGACGACCAGCCACACUGGAACGGAGACACGGUCCAGACUCCUACGGGAGGCAGCAGUGGGGAAUUUUGGACAAUGGGCGAAAGCCUGAUCCAGCCAUUCCGCGUGCAGGAUGAAGGCCCUCGGGUUGUAAACUGCUUUUGUACAGAACGAAAAGGUUUCUACUAAUACUAGGAGCUCAUGACGGUACUGUAAGAAUAAGAGGUUGCUAACUCUGUGCCAGCCGCCGCCGUAA